AGCCCGGUGGUGUAACGGUAGCACAACGGAUUUUGAUUCCGUCAGUUUGGGUUCAAAUCCCGGCCGGGCUA
rnacentral:tRNA from 2 species